rnacentral:rRNA from 1 species
AGUGUGACGGGCAUUAGAGUGCGUCGUUGAGGAUGGCCUUUUACCCAGUGUAAGGAACUGGGGGAAUAAAGGGGGGGCAAGUCUGGUGUCAGCCGCCGCGGUAAUACCAGCCCCCUGAGUGGUAGGGACGAUUAUUUGGCCUAAAGCGUCCGUAGCCGGCCUGGUAAGUCUUUCGUCAAAUCUGACGAUUCAAUCGUUAGACCGCGGAAGAUACUGCCGGGCUAGAGGAUGGGAGAGGUCGACGGUAGUCCUGGUGUAGGGGUGAAAUCCUAUAAUCCCAGGAGGACCACCAGUGGCGAAGCGGGUCGACUAGAACAUGCCUGACGGUGAUGGACGAAAGCUGGGGGAGCGAACCGGAUUAGACACCCGGGUAGUCCCAGCUGUAAACGAUGCGGGCUAGGUGUUGGAACAGCCAUGAGCUGCUCCAGUGCCGCAGAAAAGUUGUUAAGCCCGCCGCCUGGGAAGUACGGCCGCAAGGCUGAAACUUAAAGGAAUUGGCGGGGGAGCACCACAAGGGGUGAAGGCUGCGGUUCAAUUGGAGUCAACGCCGGGAAACUUACCAGGGCUGACAGCAGAAUGAAGGUCAGGCUGAAGGUCUUACCAGACAAGCUGAGAGGAGGUGCAUGGCCGUCGCCAGUUCGUGCCGUGAGGUGUCCUGUUAAGUCAGGCAACGAACGAGACCCCCACUGCUAGUUGCCAGCGGAUUCCAACGGAAUGCCGGGCACACUAGUGGAACUGCCGCCGAUAAGGCGGAGGAAGGGGGGGACUACGGCAGGUCAGUAUGCCCCGAAUGCCUUGGGCCACACGCGGCCUGCAAUGGUAUGGACAGAGGGUUCCGACCUCGAAAGGGGAAGGUAAUCUCUAAACCCUACCUCAGUUGGGAUUGAGGGUUGAAACCCACCCUCAUGAACAUGAAUCCCUAUAAUCGCGCCUAUCAUCGCCGA